rnacentral:misc_RNA from 1 species
UCCGGUUUGGCACCGGCGGUCUCCCUAGAGUCCCCGGCAUGACCCGCUGGCAACUAGGAACAGGGGUUGCGCUCGUUGCGCCACUUAACCCAACAUCUCACGACACGAGCUGACGACAGCCAUGCAGCACCUGUGCAGGCUCCCGAAGGAGCGCCGGCUUUCACCGGCUUCACCCUGCAUGUCAAGCCCAGGUAAGGUUCUUCGCGUUGCGUCGAAUUGAGCCACAUGCUCCGCCGCUUGUGCGGGCCCCCGUCAAUUCCUUUGAGUUUCAUUCUUGCGAACGUACUCCCCAGGUGGGUUACUUAUCACUUUCGCUUAGCCACUCAACCUUGCGGCCGAACAGCUAGUAACCAUCGUUUACGGCGUGGACUAC